AUAUGUAUCGAAACAGUUCCUUUCUCAUACAAUAGGGCUAAAAUAAUAAUAAUUUUUUCUUUUAUUUUAUUUUGAAAAUAAUAUAGAAGGAUUUACUCGAGUCAACUUCAUAAAAUUUUAUAGCAAACUUUUCUGAGAGAAAGAUAAAAAGUAAUAAUGUAAUCUGUAUCAGACAGACGAGAAAGAUGCUCACUUCAUUUUCUGGAAAAUCUUUUAAAAAACUUUAUAUACUUUAUAUAUAAAGCAGUAAAUCUUUGUUAAAUUUUAAAAUAUACGAAAACAAUUCAAUUUUAGUAUAUCUCCUUAAAGAAUGACGAUUAAAUUUUUUUAUCAUCAUCGUUCCCUGAAGGUUUGCAAGAUUUAUAUUACUGUUACGCGUUAUGGUAACAAAAAAAUGAUGAUUUUGAUUGAUAUUGUGUUUUAUAAUUUGUUUCGGGCUAUUUAAGUUAUUAACUUUAACUAGAGUUGUAUCGGAUAUCCGGCAUACAGGCAAUCCGGUCCGGAUAUUAGAUCUCCGAGGAAUAAAAAGGAUACCAAUGAAAGAAUACGAAAUAGAAUUAAAAAUGUUACGUAAAUGCUUCAUUAACGUUGAUGUUCCGAAUGUUUACUGCAUUUUUUUUCCAACUCGUGAUAAAAGUGAGUUACACGCUUUGCACACUACUUUAGUCUCUUCGUUCGAAUCAAACUUCAAAAAAAUUCUCCAUACCGAAUUCAUCGUUGUAAAGAUACAGAGACAAACACAAAUAAAAAUAAAAACUUUCGACGAGAAGAUAAAUAUUGGUGAAUGUUGCCAGCUUUUGUGAAAUUUUUGACAACGGUGCCGGCGGUAUCGAUAAAAUUAAAUGAAAGAAAUAAUAUAAAAAAAUAUAAGUUUUUAUUUUCUCGUUUCGAUCACAACAAACGGCUAAUAAUAUUAAAUAACAAUAACAAUAAGUGUUAUCCACUCUAACAUAGAUAUUUUUAAAUAAUUACUGUAUAAUACGCUCGCUGGUAUGCAAAGGUAGCGGUACUCAGGAAGAUUCCCAAUUUUCCAUUGAAAAUAAUCAACAUAUCCGACUGGGUAUACUUUCUUUGCUUAAAAGAUGCCGAGUACUGGAUAUCUGACAUUUAAGGCUCGUUAUGUCAAUAAUUUUAACUAAAAUUAAUUGUUUUACCUCGUUAAUUAAGAGGCGAAACACUGUUAGUUAGUUAACGUAUCGGUCGAAAGAUGGCAGUGUUCUAAUAAAAGGUGAAACAUUUUUUUGUUUUUUCUUUUUUGUUGUUGUAUGUAUGUGUGUGACGCUCACUCGUUUAAUCGAAUUUCGCUCCUAAUAUUUUAAGUUUUAUGAGAUUUACAAUAUAAAUUCGCAUAUUUGAUACGUCUCCAUCUCUAGCUUAUAUAUAGUAUACCUUAGAUAUAUUUUUAGAUAAAUAUUUAUCCAAUCUGUCGUCGAUCGUUUCUCAUUUGCGUAUUAUACUGAACUCGAGUGCAUGUGAUCGAUGGGGAAUAAUUAUUAUUAUUGUUUUUUGUUUGAUAAAAACAAACGGGCUUUAAAAUGUUUCAAAUUCUACGAUUUAAAAAAGGGGAGGGGGAAAAAGAUUGAUUUGAAUCGAUCGAAACAAUGAAGGAGGAAGGAGGAUAAAACUAAAAAAAAAAAAGAGAUACAAAAUGGAUGAAGAAAAUUCGGUAAUUUAGAUCAGGAAUUGCUUCCAAAAUGAAAAAGAAAGACAUUACCGGAAGACGUAUUAUUCAAAAUAUAAUUUAAAUACUGUUUAAUAUAAUAAGUUAGAAGCGCUAAAAGUUCAUAAGACGUCGAUAACCACACAAGAACUGGAUAAAAAAAAUUUUUUUAACAAUUUUUUUAACCGUUUAGUUAUAAAAUUGGUAAUCGUAUAAAAUUUACUCUCUGAUUUAUUUAUGAGUUCGAAAUAUAUUCAGAUUUAGGUUGGAAAAGUACGCGUGGAAAUCCUUUCAAAUAUUUUCUAUUGCAGCGAUAUAAAUUUUAAUUUAAUGCAAAAUAUC
rnacentral:lncRNA from 1 species